rnacentral:rRNA from 1 species
GGUCUCCUACGGGGCGCAGCAGUGGGGGAUAUUGCACAAUGGGGGAAACCCUGAUGCAGCGACGCCGCGUGUGGGAAGACGGUCCUCUGGAUUGUAAACCACUGUCCCCAGGGACGAAGAUGACGGUACCUGGGGAGGAAGCUCCGGCUAACUACGUGCCAGCAGCCGCGGUAAUACGUAGGGAGCGAGCGUUGUCCGGAAUUACUGGGUGUAAAGGGCGUGUAGGCGGGCAUGCAAGCCAGAAGUGAAAUCUGGGGGCUUAACCCCCAAACUGCUUUUGGAACUGCGUGUCUUGAGUGAUGGAG